UAGGGAAUCUUCCACAAUGGACGAAAGUCUGAUGGAGCAACGCCGCGUGAGCGAUGAAGGCCUUCGGGUCGUAAAGCUCUGUUGUUAGGGAAGAACAAGUGCGAGAGUAACUGCUCGCACCUUGACGGUACCUAACCAGAAAGCCACGGCUAACUACGUG
rnacentral:rRNA from 1 species